rnacentral:rRNA from 1 species
UACGUAGGGUGCUAGCGUUGUUCGGAAUCAUUGGGCGUAAAGCGCGUGUAGGCGGUUAGGUAAGUCGGGUGUGAAAUCCCUGGGCUCAACCGAGGAAGGGCAUCCGAAACUCCCUAGCUGGAGGACGGUAGAGGAAGGUGGAAUUCCUAGUGUAGAGGUGAAAUUCGUAGAUAUUAGGAGGAAUACCGGUGGCGAAGGCGGCCUUCUGGGCCGAUCCUGACGCUGAGACGCGAAAGCGUGGGGAG